GACGAACGCUGGCGGCGUGCCUAAUACAUGCAAGUAGAACGCUGAAGGAGGAGCUUGCUUCUCUGGAUGAGUUGCGAACGGGUGAGUAACGCGUAGGUAACCUGCCUGGUAGCGGGGGAUAACUAUUGGAAACGAUAGCUAAUACCGCAUAAUAGUAGAUGUUGCAUGACAUUUGCUUAAAAGGUGCAAUUGCAUCACUACCAGAUGGACCUGCGUUGUAUUAGCUAGUUGGUGGGGUAACGGCUCACCAAGGCGACGAUACAUAGCCGACCGGAGAGGGUGAUCGGCCACACUGGGACUGAGACACGGCCUAGACUCCUACGGGAGGCAGCAGUAGGGAAUCUUCGGCAAUGGACGGAAGUCUGACCGAGCAACGCCGCGGGAGUGAAGAAGGGUUUCGGAUCGUAAAGCUCUGUUGUAAGAGAAGAACGAGUGUGAGAGUGGAAAGUUCACACUGUGACGGUAUCUUACCAGAAAGGGACGGCUAACUACGUG
rnacentral:rRNA from 1 species